UACGUAGGGGGCAAGCGUUGUCCGGAUUUAUUGGGCGUAAAGAGCGUGUAGGCGGCCAGGUAGGUCUGCUGUGAAAACUCGAGGCUUAACCUCGAGCUGUCGGCGGAAACCAUCUGGCUAGAGUCCGGAAGAGGAGAAUGGAAUUCCCGGUGUAGCGGUGAAAUGCGUAGAGAUCGGAAAGAACACCAACGGCGAAAGCACGUCCGC
rnacentral:rRNA from 1 species